UUUUCAAGAAAUCUUUCCUUUUCUUUAUUUCAACUGGUCAGUCUAAUGAUGGUCACUCAACAAGACCAGCACUAGGUGCUAGGCUAACUAGCCCAGAUCUCUCUGUUCAGUCAUCAACAGAUAGUUAAAUAUCAAUUGUGUUAAAUAGACACAUAUAUAUAUAUCAAAGACAAACUAGUCAUUAGAAGGUUACAUACCUGCCUAAAUAAAAUCUAAACUAAUACAGUUUGAAAUUAAAAUUGGUGAAGAUUAAAUACACCCCCCCCCCCCCCCCCCCG